GACAGAGGGUGCAAACGUUGUUCGGAAUUACUGGGCGUAAAGCGAGUGUAGGCGGUCUUCUAAGUCGGAUGUGAAAUCCCCAGGCUUAACCUGGGAACUGCAUCCGAUACUGGAUGGCUUGAAUCCGGGAGAGGGAUGCAGAAUUCCAGGUGUAGCGGUGAAAUGCGUAGAUAUCUGGAGGAAUACCGGUGGCGAAGGCGGCAUCCUGGACCGGCAUUGACGCUGAUGAGCGAAAGCUAGGGGAGCAAACGGG
rnacentral:rRNA from 1 species